AUGAAGAGAGAGAGGGGGGUAAUAGAGAGGAAUCUUCUGCAAUCCUCGGGGCAGAGCACAAUGCAACUUCCUCUGCUCGUUGCAAACCCAUCUGCAUCAUCCGUAGAGCAGAGCACAACUAGCAGCUCUGUAGCGACGCAACACUUCUGCUACCCAUCCAAAGAUGACAACACGAUCAAGUGGGGUGAGGCUUGUCUGUGGUCUUUCAAGCAGUACAAGUUUGAUGACUCUUCUGCUGGAGACACGUGGCCCUGUUUGAAUAAUGCAGCUUCACAUGAUGGCGACGAGUCUGGUAUUCAGAACAUCUCAUGA
rnacentral:rRNA from 1 species